rnacentral:sRNA from 1 species
UUUUUUUUUGGUUUUAUAACUAUUUCGGGACUCAUUUGUUAAAUA